CCGAAAGGCGUAGUCGAUGGGAAACAGGUUAAUAUUCCUGUACUUGGUGUUACUGCGAAGGGGGGACGGAGAAGGCUAUGUUGGCCGGGCGACGGUUGUCCCGGUUUAAGCGUGUAGGCUGGUUUUCCAGGCAAAUCCGGAAAAUCAAGGCUGAGGCGUGAUGACGAGGCACUACGGUGCUGAAGCAACAAAUGCCCUGCUUCCAGGAAAAGCCUCUAAGCAUCAGGUAACAUCAAAUCGUACCCCAAACCGACACAGGUGGUCAGGUAGAGAAUACCAAGGCGCUUGAGAGAACUCGGGU
rnacentral:rRNA from 1 species